UACGUAGGAUGCAAGCGUUGUCCGGAAUUAUUGGGCGUAAAGAGCGCGCAGGCGGUUUGAGAAGUCAGAUGUGAAAGAGGCCGGCUUAACCGGCAAGGGUCAUUUGAAACUGACAGACUAGAGUACAGCAGAGGAUAGCGGAAUUCCCGGUGUAGUGGUGAAAUGCGUAGAUAUCGGGAGGAACACCAGUGGCGAAGCGGCUAUCUGGGCUGAAACUGACGCUGAGGCGCGAAGGCUAGGGUAGCAAACAGG
rnacentral:rRNA from 1 species